CUCCCUCCAGGAGCAAGCAAAGAAGGCGAGUAACCUCUCCCAAGUCACAGAGACAAAGAAAAUAAAUUUGAAGAAAAGCCAUGAAGAUAGAUAUUUUGCAGAUACAUAGAGAUCGACAGAGACACACUAGAAGUAAGAAAAACCCUUUAACUGGAAGGCUUGAUGAUGAAAACUCUGGAAGGCAGGUGCUGCUCUUUGCCACAGAAGGAAGACUGGCUCUGGUAUUAUUUG